rnacentral:rRNA from 1 species
GUUGCUGGACGUAUCACAAGUGCGAAUGCUGACAUAAGUAACGAUAAAGGGGGUGAAAAACCCCCUCGCCGGAAGACCAAGGGUUCCUGUCCAACGUUAAUCGGGGCAGGGUGAGUCGGCCCCUAAGGCGAGGCUGAAGAGCGUAGUCGAUGGGAAACGGGUUAAUAUUCCCGUACUUGUGAUAAGAGCGAUGUGGGGACGGAGCAGGUUAGGUUAUCCGGGUGACGGAAGUCCCGGUCCAAGCGUGUAGGAUGGAUGAUUAGGCAAAUCCGGUCAUCUAAAUCAGAGGCGUGACGGGGAGGCACUACGGUGCUGAAGUAACCGAUACCACACUUCCAGGAAAAGCCGCUAAGCUUAUCUUAUCAUAAACCGUACUGAAAACCGACACAGGUGGUCAGGUAGAGAAUACUCAGGCGCUUGAGAGAACUCGGGUGAAGGAACUAGGCAAAAUAGCACCGUAACUUCGGGAGAAGGUGCGCUGAUGGUAAUUGAAGUCCUUUGCGGAUGGAGGUGAAGUCAGUCGAAGUGACCAGCUGGCUGCAACUGUUUAUUAAAAACACAGCACUCUGCAAACACGAAAGUGGACGUAUAGGGUGUGACGCCUGCCCGGUGCUGGAAGGUUAAUUGAUGAUGUGAGAGCAUUUGAUCGAAGCCCCAGUAAACGGCGGCCGUAACUAUAACGGUCCUAAGGUAGCGAAAUUCCUUGUCGGGUAAGUUCCGACCUGCACGAAUGGCGUAAUGAUGGCCAGGCUGUCUCCACCCGAGACUCAGUGAAAUUGAAAUCGCCGUGAAGAUGCGGUGUACCCGCGGCUAGACGGAAAGACCCCGUGAACCUUUACUAUAGCUUGACACUGAACAUUGAAUUUUGAUGUGUAGGAUAGGUGGGAGACUGCGAAGUAUUAACGCCAGUUAAUAUGGAGUCGUUGUUGAAAUACCACCCUUUAAGGUUUGAUGUUCUAACACAGAUUGCGAAACGCGGUCGUGGACAGUGUCUGGUGGGUAGUUUGACUGGGGCGGUCUCCUCCCAAAGCGUAACGGAGGAGUACGAAGGUUUGCUAAUCACGGUCGGACAUCGUGAGGUUAGUACAAUGGUAUAAGCAAGCUUGACUGCGAGACGGACAGGUCGAGCAGGUGCGAAAGCAGGUCAUAGUGAUCCGGUGGUUCUGAAUGGAAGGGCCAUCGCUCAACGGAUAAAAGGUACUCCGGGGAUAACAGGCUGAUACCGCCCAAGAGUUCAUAUCGACGGCGGUGUUUGGCACCUCGAUGUCGGCUCAUCACAUCCUGGGGCUGAAGUAGGUCCCAAGGGUAUGGCUGUUCGCCAUUUAAAGUGGUACGCGAGCUGGGUUUAGAACGUCGUGAGACAGUUCGGUCCCUAUCUGCCGUGGGCGUUGGAAAAUUGAAAGGGGCUGCUCCUAGUACGAGAGGACCGGAGUGGACGCACCGCUGGUGUUCCCGUUGUUUCGCCAGAAGCAUUGCGGGGUAGCUAUGUGCGGGAGAGAUAAGUGCUGAAAGCAUCUAAGCACGAAACUUGCCUUGAGAUGAGUUUUCCCACACUAAGAGUGAGUAAGGGUUGUUUAAGACUAAGACGUAGAUAGGCGGGGUGUGUAAGUGUAGUGAUAUAUUGAGCUAACCCGUACUAAUUGCCCGAGAGGCUUAACCAUACAACGCUCAAGGGUUUU